UGCGAGAUUCCGUCGAAGGGGUCGAGUUGUGCGCGAUUUCGUCGAAGGGGUCGAGGUGUGCGCGAGUGUCGAGAGUUCUGUCCGGGAGUCUUGGUGCGAAGGGUGCUGUGGUUCGUGUGAGGCUCGCGAGUGUCGCGCGGUGUGGGCGACGUACGAGCAGCGACGAGAGUCUUGGUGAAGGGUUCGUGUGGUGCGAAUUCUGUCGAGCACAAGGGUGCGAGUCCGCCGGAAUUCUUGUGCGAAAAGUGGGUCGAGUGCUGCGACAAGGGUCGUGGUGUUGAGGGUUUCGUGCGCGUGAGUGGUGUGGUCUUCGGUCGCCGGAAUUCUUUCGCCGGCGAUUUCUAACGGUCCCAAUUUCAUAAGCGGCUCGUUCUAUUAAGUCAGCGAAAAUUCUCCGUUACAAGACUAGGUGAGCUGGUGCUGCUGCAUGACAUCAAGCAUAUGGGGGCUAGACUGUAGUUUGAAGUUAACUUUUGGUUUGAUCAUUAAUGAAUUUUAUAGAACAUUAUUACAUGGUUUGAGUUUGAAUAAAGAGGGGUCAUCUAUGAUUCCCGAGUUGUAAUUACAUUUUCUAUUCCGCUGCAAUUUGGUUUUGAGACAAUGAAUUUGAGUUACCAUAUUUCUAAUUA